rnacentral:sRNA from 1 species
UGACUUCAGGUACGGAAACGAACCGAG